CCCUUAGAUGUUCUGGGCCGCACGCGUGCUACACUGAGUGGAUCAGCGGGUCAGGUUGCGCGAAAGCGUUUCCUAAUCUUUAAAUCCGCUCGUGAUGGGGAUUGACGGUUGCAAUUUUCUGUCAUGAACGAGGAAUACCUUGUAAGCGCGGGUCAUCAUCCCGCGCUGAAUACGUCCCUGCCCUUUGUACACACCGCCCGUCGCUCCUACCGAUUGAAUGUGCCAGUGAAAAGUUAGGAUUGGGCGUGGGAGACGGCAACGUAUUCCACAUCCGAGAAAAUCUUUAAACUUUCCCAUUUAGAGGAAGGAGAAGUCGUAACA
rnacentral:rRNA from 1 species